rnacentral:rRNA from 1 species
UACGGAGGGUGCAACGUUGCUCGGAAUCAUUGGGCGUAAAGCGCACGUAGGCGGUCGGCUAUGUCGGAUGUGAAAGCCUCGGGCUUAACCCGAGAAGGGCAUCCGAAACUGGCCGGCUUGAGUACGGAAGAGGGUCUCGGAAUUCCCGGUGUAGAGGUGAAAUUCGUAGAUAUCGGGAGGAACACCAGUGGCGAAGGCGGAGACCUGGGCCGAUACUGACGCUGAGGUGCGAAAGCGUGGGGAGCAAACAGG